AUCUCAGCAGCAAACAUGUGGGUGAGGCAUCUUGGAUCCUUUUGCAGAAUCUUCUUGUUGUAUUUGCUUGGAAGUUCAUAAACAAAAACUUUAAGUCUUCCAACAGGAUCNNNNNNNNACCAGCACUACCUGAAAUCCUCUCAGUGGGUUGACUCCUGCCCAGCUUCACAGCACCAACAGUCGAUGCAAAGGCAGCAUAGCAAAGAAUCCCAACAAAAACCCAC
rnacentral:misc_RNA from 1 species